rnacentral:rRNA from 1 species
GACGAACGCUGGCGGCGUGCCUAAUACAUGCAAGUCGAACGAACUCUGGUAUUGAUUGGUGCUUGCAUCAUGAUUUACAUUUGAGUGAGUGGCGAACUGGUGAGUAACACGUGGGAAACCUGCCCAGAAGCGGGGGAUAACACCUGGAAACAGAUGCUAAUACCGCAUAACAACUUGGACCGCAUGGUCCGGACGCUUGUAAAGAAUGGCGUUCGGUCCGU